rnacentral:rRNA from 1 species
GCAGUCUGCAACUCGACUGCAUGAAGCCGGAAUCGCUAGUAAUCGCGGAUCAGAAUGCCGCGGUGAAUACGUUCCCGGGUCUUGUACACACCGCCCGUCACACCACGGGAGUCGGAAAUGCCCGAAGCCGGUGGCCUAACCGAUAAGGGAGGAGCCGUCGAAGGCAGGUCUGAUGACUGGGGUGAAGUCGUAACAAGGUAAC